rnacentral:lncRNA from 1 species
AGUCUGGCCGUUCUUAUGUUCUAUGUUCCCCUGUUACUGAGCCGCCCUCUCCCCGUUGCAGAAACAGACGGAAGCCGAGAGGCAGAAGAUUGUCUGGGAGUGGCAGGAGCUGCGAGGAUUUCUGGAGGAGCAGGAGCAGCGGCUGCUGUCCCGGCUGGAGGAGCUAGAGAGAGCCAUUGUCCAGAGAAGGGAUGAGGGUGUUUGCAGCCUGUCCUGGGAGAUUUCCCUGCUCAGCAAGAGGGGAGGAGAGAAGGGGCAGCAGCCACUGAGCCAACCCCUGCAGGGUGCUGGGAGCACUGGGGGCAGCAGGGAGGAUGGGACGUUUUGGACGCCAGAACCAUCGUUUGCGGAGCUGGAGAAGAUACUCAGCGAUUUCUCCCUGAAAAGUGCCAUGCUGCAGGAGGUGCUGCUGGGAUUCAAAGAGACACUGCAACGGGAGCUGGGGAGCGACACAGGUACUUGUCUGUCUCUGACUGGCCUAGGGGAGAUUUCAGCCCAAUAACCAUGUUAACGACGGGGGAUUGCAGCCUCCAGCACCUGGAAGCUGUGUAACAAUGGGAAGCGAUGUUACUUUGUUCUUGCACCACUAUAUUUUCAACUGACUUGUCUCUUAAAUAUUUUAGCUCAGGGAUCGGCAACCUUUGGCACACGGC